rnacentral:rRNA from 1 species
CUUGACAUCCCAAUGACAUCUCCUUAAUCGGAGAGUUCCCUUCGGGGACAUUGGUGACAGGUGGUGCAUGGUUGUCGUCAGCUCGUGUCGUGAGAUGUUGGGUUAAGUCCCGCAACGAGCGCAACCCUUGUCUUUAGUUGCCAUCAUUAAGUUGGGCACUCUAGAGAGACUGCCAGGGAUAACCUGGAGGAAGGUGGGGAUGACGUCAAAUCAUCAUGCCCCUUAUGCUUAGGGCUACACACGUGCUACAAUGGGUAGUACAGAGGGUUGCCAAGCCGUAAGGUGGAGCUAAUCCCUUAAAGCUACUCUCAGUUCGGAUUGUAGGCUGAAACUCGCCUACAUGAAGCUGGAGUUACUAGUAAUCGCAGAUCAGAAUGCUGCGGUGAAUGCGUUCCCGGGUCUUGUAC